rnacentral:rRNA from 1 species
CCUACGGGUGGCAGCAGUGGGGAAUAUUGCGCAAUGGGCGAAAGCCUGACGCAGCGACGCCGCGUGAGUGAUGAAGGUCUUCGGAUCGUAAACCUCUGUCAGCAGGGAAGAACGGUCACUGUGCUAAUCAGCAGUGAAUUGACGGUACCUGCAAAGGAAGCACCGGCUAACUCCGUGCCAGCAGCCGCGGUAAUACGGAGGGUGCGAGCGUUAAUCGGAAUUACUGGGCGUAAAGCGCUCGUAGGCGGUAUGUCAAGUCAAGGGUGAAAUCCCCGCGCUCAACGUGGGAACUGCAUUUGAAACUGGCAAGCUGGAGUGUGUGAGAGGAGAGUGGAAUUCCAGGUGUAGGAGUGAAAUCCGUAGAGAUCUGGAGGAAUACCAGGGGCGAAGGCGACUAUCUGGCACAUAACUGACGCGGAGGAGCGAAAGCGUGGGGAGCAAACAGGAUUAGAUACCCUUGUAGUC